GUCAACAGAAGCAGCUGGUUUGGCACCAAAUGAUUGCCAUGGGUCAGAGGCAGUAGCUGCAACUGUGGAUCCUCCCCAGGGAUCAGUUUGGUUUGCAACAGCAGCAGGAGGUCCCCAGGGCUCUGUUUUCUGUGGGGCCGGUGCCGAUGAGGGCAGGGCAUCCAUUAGGUCCAAAAGAGUAGUAUGCUCCUUCUUUUUGGGAAUUUUAAUUGUGUCUCUGCGACUCUCCUCCAGAGCCAUCUGUAAUCUCAGAUCAUCUCCGCGUCUGAGGCGCUCCUCCUGCUCCGCCACCUCCCGGCUCAUCGCCAGCGCCAACUGCAGCUGCAGCUCUUCUUCCC
rnacentral:lncRNA from 1 species